rnacentral:rRNA from 1 species
AUUGAACGCUGGCGGUAUGCCUUACACAUGCAAGUCGAACGGUAGCACACUACGAGCUUCUUCUUACUGGCGACCAGUUGCGUACUGGUUAGGAACACACCCGGACCUACUUUUUAGUUGCUCGUAAGAUUGGCUAACUUACCCUACUAUCUCUUACUGCCUACGGGUGACCGUAGGGCCUCUUCCGAUUUUACCCGCUUGUAUGAGCCGAUGUCGGAUUAGGUAGUUGGCGGGGUAAAGGCCCACCAAGGCGACGAUCCGUAGCUGGUCUGAGAGGAGGAUCAGCCACACUGGAGCUGAGACACGGUCCAGACUCCUACGGGAGGCAGCAGUGGGGAAUAUUGGACAAUGGGCGCAAGCCUGAUCCAGCCAUGCCGCGUGGGGGAAGAAGGCCUUCGGGUUGUAAAGCGCUUUUGUAGGGAAAGAAAAGCAGCAGGUUAAUACCCCGCGGUAAUGACGGUACCGAAAGAAUAAGCACCGGCUAACUUCGUG